rnacentral:lncRNA from 1 species
GGACUGUCAGUCAUGUUAUCUUCUUGGAAGAACCCUCCAAAAUUCCUUUGGGAGAAAUCUGAGGUUUUCCCCAGCUUCUUCCUAAGGUAACAAGAGCAAAAAUGCAUCAGAAGCAUCCUAGUGAAAAGAAUUUCUAAUGCAUCCUCAGUCCAAACAUUACCAUCAUUUUGAGAUGUAUUUUCAAGUAUCAGACAGAAAAUUACAUUCGAAGUUAAGCCAAAGCAUCUCGGUGUGGAAGUACAACUUUAAGCUUCUAAU